AACGUGGUAGCGGCGUGUAAC
rnacentral:misc_RNA from 1 species